rnacentral:rRNA from 1 species
UACGAAGGGGGCUAGCGUUGCUCGGAAUUACUGGGCGUAAAGGGCGCGUAGGCGGAUGUCUAAGUUGGGGGUGAAAUCCCGGGGCUCAACCUCGGAACAGCCUUCAAUACUGGAUAUCUUGAGUUCGGGAGAGGUGAGUGGAAUGCCGAGUGUAGAGGUGAAAUUCGUAGAUAUUCGGCGGAACACCAGUGGCGAAGGCGACUCACUGGCCCGAUACUGACGCUGAGGCGCGAAAGCUAGGGGAGCAAACAGG